rnacentral:rRNA from 1 species
CCUACGGGAGGCAGCAGUGGGGGAUAUUGCACAAUGGGGGAAACCCUGAUGCAGCGACGCCGCGUGGGCGAAGAAGUAUUUCGGUAUGUAAAGCCCUAUCAGCAGGGAAGAAGAAAUGACGGUAUCUGAGUAAGAAGCACUGGCCAAAUACGUGCCAGCAGCCGCGGUAAUACGUAUGGUGCAAGCGUUAUCCGGAUUUACUGGGUGUAAAGGGAGCGCAGGCGGCACGGCAAGCCUGAUGGGAAAGCCCGCGGCCCAAACGCGGGAGUGCAUUGGGAACUACCGGUCUGGAGUGACGGAGAGGUAGGCGGAAUUCCUGGUGUAGCGGUGAAAUGCGUAGAUAUUAGGAGGAACACCAGUUGCGAAGGCAGCCUACUGGACGGUGACUGACGCUGAGGCUCGAAAGCGUGGGGAGCAAACAGGAUUAGAUACCCGGGUAGUC